AGCAGGGUAGAGGAAUUGGUCAACUCAUCAGGCUCAUGACCUGAAGACUGCAGGUUCGAAUCCUGUCCCCGCCU
rfam:Triticum aestivum genome assembly, contig: Triticum_aestivum_CS42_TGACv1_scaffold_136199_2BL